rnacentral:tRNA from 4 species
GCCGGCUUAGCUCAGUUGGUAGAGCAACUGAUUUGUAAUCAGUGGGUCAGGGGUUCGACUCCUCUAGCCGGCACCA